rnacentral:rRNA from 7 species
UGUAAUUGGAAUGAUGGGAAUUUAAACCUCUUCCAGAGUAUCAAUUGGAGGGCAAGUCUGGUGCCAGCAGCCGCGGUAAUUCCAGCUCCAAUAGCGUAUAUUAAAAUUGUUGCAGUUAAAAAGCUCGUAGUUGAAUUUCUGCUGCAUUACUUUUGCUCCUUGACGAGUGUCUGUAUUGCGGCUUAUUUCGGAUUAUGCUUGCAUUUUCCGGAUGUUUACUUUGAGAAAAUUAGAGUGCUCAAAGCAGGCUUUUGCCUUGAAUAGUUUAGCAUGGAAUAAUAAAGUAGGACUUUGGUUCUAUUUUGUUGGUUUUAGGUACCAAAGUAAUGGUUAAUAGGAACAGUUGGGGGCAUUCGUAUUUAACUGUCAGAGGUGAAAUUCUUAGAUUUGUUAAAGACGAACUACUGCGAAAGCAUUUGCCAAGGAUGUUUUCAUUAAUCAAGAACGAAAGUUAGGGGAUCGAAGACGAUCAGAUACCGUCGUAGUCCUAACCAUAAACUAUGCCGACUAGAGAUUGGAGGUCGUCAGUUUUUACGACUCCUUCAGCAC